GACGAACGCUGGCGGCGUGCCUAAUACAUGCAAGUCGAACGAACUCUGGUAUUGAUUGGUGCUUGCAUCAUGAUUUACAUUUGAGUGAGUGGCGAACUGGUGAGUAACACGUGGGAAACCUGCCCAGAAGCGGGGGAUAACACCUGGAAACAGAUGCUAAUACCGCAUAACAACUUGGACCGCAUGGUCCGAGCUUGAAAGAUGGCUUCGGCUAUCACUUUUGGAUGGUCCCGCGGCGUAUUAGCUAGAUGGUGGGGUAACGGCUCACCAUGGCAAUGAUACGUAGCCGACCUGAGAGGGUAAUCGGCCACAUUGGGACUGAGACACGGCCCAAACUCCUACGGGAGGCAGCAGUAGGGAAUCUUCCACAAUGGACGAAAGUCUGAUGGAGCAACGCCGCGUGAAUGAAGAAGGGUUUCGGCUCGUAAAACUCUGUUGUUAAAGAAGAACAUAUCUGAGAGUAACUGUUCAGGUAUUGACGGUAUUUAACCAGAAAGCCACGGCUAACUACGUGCCAGCAGCCGCGGUAAUACGUAGGUGGCAAGCGUUGUCCGGAUUUAUUGGGCGUAAAGCGAGCGCAGGCGGUUUUUUAAGUCUGAUGUGAAAGCCUUCGGCUCAACCGAAGAAGUGCAUCGGAAACUGGGAAACUUGAGUGCAGAAGAGGACAGUGGAACUCCAUGUGUAGCGGUGAAAUGCGUAGAUAUAUGGAAGAACACCAGUGGCGAAGGCGGCUGUCUGGUCUGUAACUGACGCCGAGGCUCGAAAGUAUGGGUAGCAAACAGGAUUAGAUACCCUGGUAGUCCAUACCGUAAACGAUGAAUGCUAAGUGUUGGAGGGUUUCCGCCCUUCAGUGCUGCAGCUAACGCAUUAAGCAUUCCGCCUGGGGAGUACGGCCGCAAGGCUGAAACUCAAAGGAAUUGACGGGGGCCCGCACAAGCGGUGGAGCAUGUGGUUUAAUUCGAAGCUACGCGAAGAACCUUACCAGGUCUUGACAUACUAUGCAAAUCUAAGAGAUUAGACGUUCCCUUCGGGGACAUGGAUACAGGUGGUGCAUGGUUGUCGUCAGCUCGUGUCGUGAGAUGUUGGGUUAAGUCCCGCAACGAGCGCAACCCUUAUUAUCAGUUGCCAGCAUUAAGUUGGGCACUCUGGUGAGACUGCCGGUGACAAACCGGAGGAAGGUGGGGAUGACGUCAAAUCAUCAUGCCCCUUAUGACCUGGGCUACACACGUGCUACAAUGGAUGGUACAACGAGUUGCGAACUCGCGAGAGUAAGCUAAUCUCUUAAAGCCAUUCUCAGUUCGGAUUGUAGGCUGCAACUCGCCUACAUGAAGUCGGAAUCGCUAGUAAUCGCGGAUCAGCAUGCCGCGGUGAAUACGUUCCCGGGCCUUGUACACACCGCCCGUCACACCAUGAGAGUUUGUAACACCCAAAGUCGGUGGGGUAACCUUUUAGGAACCAGCCGCCUAAGGUGGGACAGAUGAUUAGGGUG
rnacentral:rRNA from 1 species